GGGUAUAUAGCUCAGUGGUAGAGCCUGUGCUUAGCAUGCAUGAGGUCCUGGGUUCAAUCCCCAGAACCUCCA
rnacentral:tRNA from 1 species